rnacentral:rRNA from 1 species
AGUGAACGCUGGCGGUAGGCCUAACACAUGCAAGUCGAACGGCAGCACAAGAGAGCUUGCUCUCUGGGUGGCGAGUGGCGGACGGGUGAGGAAUACAUCGGAAUCUACUCUGUCGUGGGGGAUAACGUAAGGAAACUUACGCUAAUACCGCAUACGACCUACGGGUGAAAGCAGGGGACCUUCGGGCCUUGCGCGAUUGAAUGAGCGGAUGUCGGAUUAGCUAGUUGGCGGGGUAAAGGCCCACCAAGGCGACGAUCCGUAGCUGGUCUGAGAGGAUGAUCAGCCACACUGGAACUGAGACACGGUCCAGACUCCUACGGGAGGCAGCAGUGGGGAAUAUUGGACAAUGGGCGCAAGCCUGAUCCAGCCAUACCGCGUGGGUGAAGAAGGCCUUCAGGUUGUAAAGCCCUUUUGUUGGGAAAGAAAUCCAGCUGGCUAGUACCCGGUUGGGAUGACGGUACCCAAAGAAUAAGCACCGGCUAACUUCGUGCCAGCCGCCGCCGUAA